AUUGAACGCUGGCGGCAUGCCUUACACAUGCAAGUCGAACGGUAACAGGUUAAGCUGACGAGUGGCGAACGGGUGAGUAAUGUAUCGGAACGUGCCCAGCCGUGGGGGAUAACUGCUCGAAAGAGCAGCUAAUACCGCAUACGACCUGAGGGUGAAAGCGGGGGAUCGCAAGACCUCGCGCGAUUGGAGCGGCCGAUAUCAGAUUAGGUAGUUGGUGGGGUAAAGGCCUACCAAGCCUACGAUCUGUAGCUGGUCUGAGAGGACGACCAGCCACACUGGGACUGAGACACGGCCCAGACUCCUACGGGAGGCAGCAGUGGGGAAUUUUGGACAAUGGACGCAAGUCUGAUCCAGCCAUGCCGCGUGCGGGAAGAAGGCCUUCGGGUUGUAAACCGCUUUUGUCAGGGAAGAAAAGGCUCUGGUUAAUACCUGGGACUCAUGACGGUACCUGAAGAAUAAGCACCGGCUAACUACGUGCCAGCCGCCGCGGUAAAAC
rnacentral:rRNA from 1 species